GCCAGGCAUGGUGGCGCAUGCCUGUAAUCCCAGCGGCUCAGGAGGUUGAGGCAGGAGGAUCUCGAGUUCAAAUCCAGCCUCAGCAAAAGCAAGGUGUAAAGUAACUCAGUGAGACCCUGUCUCUA
rnacentral:sRNA from 1 species